UCACCACAGACAAUUUCAUAGAUUUAGACAUGCACAGCUUUUGUAUCUCUUCAACUACACUUGAUGGUAAUAACAUAAGUGACCAUAAUAUAUAAUGCUGUCCUAUUUCUCUCAGUGAUGAGUGGGCACAUCUACAGAUUCACAGAUAAAGGAGGAAACUCUAUUAAUACCAGAUCUGCAAGACACAUGAAGCACAUCCAAAGCAGUACUGUCAGUCUCCUGUCAUCUCAAUAAGUGAAAGAACGACAAAAAUAUAAAAAAAAUCAUCCACUGGGACAGCUGAUCUAUGCUGAUAUGAUCUUGCUCAACAAGUUGCUUGAAAGAAGUGAGCUUACUGCUGAAUCAACAGACCCAGUGAACGACUCGUCCUGGAAUGUGCCUAUCUAUGACAUUGAUAGGUGAAACUCCGCCUCCACAGAAGAAAUCAAUGCCUACUGCAUCAUUGCAACAUUAGCCACGCCCACUAACCAUUUAAAGACGACGAGGAGAGAAGAGUGAUACAGGACUAAAACAACAUUACCUUUCAAAGGAUCCUAAUGCUAGGAAUAUGGAUAUUUAUUUUCAACAAUGUGAAUGUCUCAGC